rnacentral:rRNA from 1 species
GAUGAACGCUGGCGGCGUGCCUAAUACAUGCAAGUCGAGCGAACGGACGAGAAGCUUGCUUCUCUGAUGUUAGCGGCGGACGGGUGAGUAACACGUGGAUAACCUACCUAUAAGACUGGGAUAACUUCGGGAAACCGUAGCUAAUACCGGAUAAUAUUUUGAACCGCAUGGUUCAAAAGUGAAAGACGGUCUUGCUGUCACUUAUAGAUGGAUCCGCGCUGCAUUAGCUAGUUGGUAAGGUAACGGCUUACCAAGGCAACGAUGCAUAGCCGACCUGAGAGGGUGAUCGGCCACACGGGAACUGAGACACGGUCCAGACUCCUACGGGAGGCAGCAGUAGGGAAUCUUCCGCAGUGGGCGAAAGCCUGACGGAGCAACGCCGCGUGAGUGAUGAAGGCCUUCGGAUCGUAAAACUCUGUUAUUAGGGAAGAACAUAUGUGUAAGUAACUGUGCACAUCUUGACGGUACCUAUUCAGAAAGCCACGGCUAACUACGUG